GACGAACCGUGCGAACGUUGUUCGGAAUCACUGGGCUUAAAGGGCGCGUAGGCGGGCUGCCAAGUCUGGGGUGAAAUCCCACGGCUCAACCGUGGAACUGCUGGGUAUACUGGGCGUCUUGGGCCAACUAGGGGCUGCCGGAACAAAUGGUGGAGCGGUGAAAUGCGUAGAUAUCAUUUGGAACGCCAAGGGCGAAAGCAGGCAGCUGGGGUUGUGCCGACGCUGAGACACGAAAGCCAGGGGAGCGAACGGG
rnacentral:rRNA from 1 species